rnacentral:rRNA from 1 species
UACAGAGGGUGCGAGCGUUAUUCGGAAUUACUGGGCGUAAAGCGCGCGUAGGCGGCUUUGCAAGUCGGGUGUGAAAUCCCCAGGCUUAACCUGGGAACUGCAUUCGAGACUGCAUUGCUAGAGUAUGGGAGAGGGAAGUGGAAUUUCCGGUGUAGCGGUGAAAUGCGUAGAUAUCGGAAGGAACAUCAGUGGCGAAAGCGACUUCCUGGACCAAUACUGACGCUGAUGUGCGAAAGCGUGGGGAGCAAACAGG